AGAACUUAGCAGAGAUGCUUUGGUGCCUUCGGGAACUCUGAGACAGGUGCUGCAUGGCUGUCGUCAGCUCGUGUUGUGAAAUGUUGGGUUAAGUCCCGCAACGAGCGCAACCCUUAUCCUUUGUUGCCAGCGGUCCGGCCGGGAACUCAAAGGAGACUGCCAGUGAUAAACUGGAGGAAGGUGGGGAUGACGUCAAGUCAUCAUGGCCCUUACGAGUAGGGCUACACACGUGCUACAAUGGCGCAUACAAAGAGAAGCGACCUCGCGAGAGCAAGCGGACCUCAUAAAGUGCGUCGUAGUCCGGAUUGGAGUCUGCAACUCGACUCCAUGAAGUCGGAAUCGCUAGUAAUCGUAGAUCAGAAUGCUACGGUGAAUACGUUCCCGGGCCUUGUACACACCGCCCGUCACACCAUGGGAGUGGGUUGCAAAAGAAGUAGGUAGCUUAACCUUCGGGAGGGCGCUUACCACUUUGUGAUUCAUGACUGGGGUGAAGUCGUAACAAGGUAAGCGUAGUGCU
rnacentral:rRNA from 1 species